ACGCUGGCGGCGUGCCUAAUACAUGCAAGCCGAGCGAAGUUUUUCUGGUGCUUACACUAGAAAAACUUAGCGGCGAACGGGUGAGUAACACGUAAAGAACCUGCCUCAUAGACGGGGACAACUAUUGGAAACGAUAGCUAAUACCGGAUAACAGCAUAAAUCGCAUGAUAUAUGUUUAAAAGUUGGUUUCGGCUAACACUAUGAGAUGGCUUUGCGGUGCAUUAGCUAGUUGGUGGGGUAAAGGCCUACCAAGGCGACGAUGCAUAGCCGACCUGAGAGGGUGAUCGGCCACACUGGGACUGAGACACGGCCCAGACUCCUACGGGAGGCAGCAGUAGGGAAUCUUCCGCAAUGGGCGAAAGCCUGACGGAGCAACGCCGCGUGAGUGAAGAAGGAUUUCGGUUCGUAAAGCUCUGUUGUUAGGGAAGAAUGAUUGUAUAGUAACUAUAUACAGUAGAGACGGUACCUAACCAGAAAGCCACGGCUAACUACGUGCCAGCAGCCGCGGUAAUACGUAGGUGGCAAGCGUUGUCCGGAAUUAUUGGGCGUAAAGCGCGCGCAGGUGGUUUAAUAAGUCUGAUGUGAAAGCCCACGGCUCAACCGUGGAGGGUCAUUGGAAACUGUUAAACUUGAGUGCAGGAGAGAAAAGUGGAAUUCCUAGUGUAGCGGUGAAAUGCGUAGAGAUUAGGAGGAACACCAGUGGCGAAGGCGGCUUUUUGGCCUGUAACUGACACUGAGGCGCGAAAGCGUGGGGAGCAAACAGGAUUAGAUACCCUGGUAGUCCACGCCGUAAACGAUGAGUGCUAAGUGUUGGUCUCAUAAGAGAUCAGUGCUGCAGCUAACGCAUUAAGCACUCCGCCUGGGGAGUACGACCGCAAGGUUGAAACUCAAAGGAAUUGACGGGGACCCG
rnacentral:rRNA from 1 species